rnacentral:lncRNA from 1 species
GCCGCUAAGUUGUGCGUUCCAGGGUGCACUCGCCGGCGAGGCUGCACGGCGCCGGUUUCAUUGCUAAAAUCCGACGGACUUGUUGCAGAACUCGUUUUUUUUGUCGGGAAAGGGCUUCCCCGUGUAACUUUACAGCAGUUAUCGUAGAUAAGACUUGCAAAUUACAGAUGUGGACGGUGAGGGAACGGGAAUUUCACUGAAAGCGCCUGAGAACCAGUAAGAGACCUGCAACAGCUUUGUGCUCCACUGGCGAAUGCUUCCUCCCCUAAUACACAUUAUGUGUGCUUGGAGACACAAGGAGUAAGAUACAGCCCCUCAAGGGACUCGUCAUAGGGAGAGGACACAGCUUUGGGAAUAAAGGGGCCACAAAGGAGGAGAGAGGAGUUUGCUGAAACUUCCCAAGCUCCCAUUCCAGCAGUUCCUGAAGGAUUCAUUUCUCUCUGAGGAUCUCAUGAGGUGGCUUAGCAGCUAGAAUCUCUUCCUUAACAGUGGGAAGAACAACUCCUGGAAAUUUAGGUCGACUUUGACUGGAUUUAAAAGAAAGCUGUACAAUUCCACUUCUGUAUAUACAACCAAAGGAAAUGAGAUGUGCAUACCCAUGUUCAAUGAAGCAUUAUUCACAAUAGCCAAAAUGUGGAACCAAUCCUUAAACAAAAGGAAAACAGAAAAUCUGCUCAAGUCCCUGCAGGCACCUGAGAAAAUCACAACCCACACUUGCGAACCCCUAGGAGACCUAAAGCUGUGGUUUUACAAAUAAACAGAUAAGUAACAUUCCUACUCUUUCCUAUAGGUACUCAAUCUUCUUAACAACUCCCAUCCCACACAGGUUUGCAUCCCCAGCAGAUACAUAUGGCUAUGUGGUCACCCAUUCGAUCAGCCUAUAAAAGACUUGUCUUAUUUGAUAUUGUGAAACCCAUGGUUAUCAGUGUAUAUGAAAAUGUUUGGUUCAGGGGUCAAUGUACAAUAUGACAAGCAAAGUCCUCUAAUACACAGUUAUAUAAAAUCACUCACCUGAGAGCCAAGUGGACAAUUGGCCUUAUAUUGGCUGGAGUUGGAGCCCCAGAGGGAAAAUUUGCCUAUUAUUAGGCAACUCUUCAAAACUUUACUUAUUCGUUUCUAAACACUGUCUCAUAAAAUGGGGGAUGCUUUAGAUGAAUUAAGAUUAGCACUAGAUUACUUAUUCGUUGAAAAUUAGCACUAGAUUUCUUAUUGGUUGAACAAGGAGGAGUGUGCACCAUAAUCAAUAUAACCUGCUGCAGUUAUGUAAACACCUCAGGUCACAUAGAAGAAGAUAUACAGAAAAUACAUGAACAAGCUGUGUGGUUGCGUAAAUAUAACCAAGGCACCAAUCCCAACUGUAUCUGGUCAGCCAUUAGAAGCACCCUCCUGAGUCUCACUUGGUUGUUGCCCUUCCUAGGAACUUUGAUAGUUGUCUUAUUAUUAAUCUUUGGCCCUUGCUUGUUUAAAUUCUUGGUAAAGUUUGUGUUUUUUAGAUUACAACAAUUCCACAUAAAGAUGAUACUGACACAAAGCUUCCAAUCCAUCCCGUCUUCUGAACCGGGAAAUAAAGACACCCUGCCUUUAGGUGUCUUUAGAUCUAGAUCAGGCAUCUAGAGAUUUUUACUCCUCCAAUACUUGGCAGGGUCUAUGCCCGUAGACUCAUCAGGAUACCAUGUAAAUGAGGACCUCCCUUGGUACCCCAGAGGCCAACUGUAGACCCUUAUGAGAAAAUCCUGUCCCCAAAAUGAACAUCCACUGUCAGCAGGAAGAAGUUACAGAAGACCAGCCUUUGCCCUUACGAUUAAGGGUCCUCUUGUAAGUAGAGAGGGGAAUGUUAGGAAAGCAGGAGCCUAGGUGAUCCAGAGUGACACCAUUUUAAAAUAAACUCCACCUGAAAACUAGCAAGGCAUCUGCACACAUCUGUUUAGCAAGUAUAUACUUCUGUAACUGGAAUAAAAAGCGUUAUUUUAGAAUAUGCCUAUAGUUUGUAAUAAUUAGCCGAGGGAAAAAAAGUUCACAUUGGUGUAGGAAAAGUGCCCUAAUGGUCAUGGGUAAUAAUGGGACCGUGGUUCUGGUCAGUGAUUUGAUGGAAGGGGUGUAGAUAAUAUAUUGUUGUAAAUAAUAAAAAUAAAAAAUUGUUGUAAGUAAUAAAAAUAAAAUAAUAUUGUUGUAAGUAAUAAAGUAGGAGAAAUAUUUGGUCUUUUGCUUUUGGGUUAGUGCAACAGUAGUACCAUUACUUGGAGGAGAAGUUAGAGAAGGACAAGAAUAGGCUUGAAUAAGAUGAGUGAGAAGAGAGAAAAAUUCCGUAAGUGGAGAUGGCCAGGGAACACCAGGGCAGCAGAAUCUAACUCUGAAUUUAAUGCUGUUGUCUGUUCAUAUUGCACUGCGCUGUAAUCUCCCUAUCUUUCCUAAACCAUUGGCAAAGUCUGCUAUCCACUGGGGCCUUGGGUCGGUGGUGCUUUGGGAAAUACCAGAAGAGGGAAAGUACGGCAAAUGUGCAGUGUCACAGAUGAUAGGAGGAAAGCUGGCCAGUGGGAUGAUUAAAACAAUUUCGGUGGGAGUGGGAAUUCAGACCAUGUAAAUGGUCUGAAUUAAGAAAAUUUCAAGAAACAAAAAAUGUUUCUAAUGAGCCAAAGUGAAAGCUCUUCAUGAUUUCUUUAUAGAGGCUCUCUAGUGCUUGUCCUAAUUUCCUGAAAUCUCAUGGGUAUCUUACUCUCCUGGUGCCCGCCUCAAACAUUCACUGUAGCAAUUAUAUGAGCAGCCUAGAGAAUCCCAAUCCCAGUGGUCUUGCUCCCUGGAUCUACUUUCUCUUAAAAAUCAUUCCCCUAAGUUUCCGUCACUUGGUUGAAGUUUAGUAGAUAUCUCCACAUCUCCAGCUAGAACAGCACCAGAAUUUCAGGACUAGGGCAAUAGAGUCUGAUAUUAAAUUCUAUUUCUAUCUAUCUAUCUAUCAUCUAUCUAUCUAUCUAUCUAUCUAUCUAUCUAUCUAUCUAUCUAUCUACAGAACAAUUUGUGGGAUAGUAGCUUUGGGGUCCCAGAUCUAGGAUGGGCCUGGUCCUCCAUGCUGGUUCUCCUGGGUGAUAUUUCUGUUAGUUUGAACAGUAAUCACACUUUUAUUACUGUUUCAUCUUUUUUUUUUCACUCUUAGACUGAUUUUAUCAUGUGUAUAAAACAUACACACACCUACAUCUCAAGGAUAAACAUUAAUCCUUGAAAAAUAUGUGGUCUAAAACUAUAUUGAGGAGAGAAAGAUAGGACACUUUAAUUGCCACAUGAUUAACACGAGGUCACCACACAGCUUUCACAAAUCUACAAGUCAUUCUAUUUAGGCUGAGUCAAGUUCUCCCUUGGGCCAGCCAGAGCACAAAUAAUGGAGCAAUGUGACUCUUCAAUGACAGAUCUCUGAUUUCCAGAAAAGAGACUUUGAAAUACCCAAUUCUAGUAAAUAUGCAAUUAAAUUUCCAGCUAAAUGACCUUUGCUCCUGUAGUCUUCAUCUUGGGGAAGGGAAAGAAGUCUUAUUCUGUUUAAUAGUUUGAUUUUUAUAAUAGGGUUUGUCUCUGUUAUAAAUCUUGUUUGAUAUUUAAAAUGUUAGCUAAGAGAAAACUUCUGUUUGUUUUUAUUUAGUGGGAAGAAACUAACCCUCAUUGAGUGCCUAGUUAACAUCAGGCACUUUGUACACAUAAUCAAUUGAAUCUUGACCACAACCCUGUGAGGUGAAAAAUGAGAAGAUUAAAUAAGCCAUGGGAAGAUUUUUUAAAAUGACAUGAAACUCCAAGGGUAAAAAGUAGGCUGGGAAAUCUUAGGAUGGUGAACCAUCAUGUUUCCUGAAUGUGAAUCCUGUACCUGGUUUGACUGUAGUCACCCCUUCUCCAACACUCUCCACGAUGCCGGCUGCCUCAUGGCCUAAAAUCACAGGAAGUGGGGUCACCAUGGUACCACUAACCACGUGGUCAUCUGUGCCACAGAUUCCUACAGCCACCAUCUACAGAGUGAAGAGAAGAUGUUUAUAAAAGAUUGUGAGUCUCAGGAUGUUCAACAUGAUCAAUGCCAAAUAAAUAUCAGAAUACUUGGAAGUAAAGUACUAAUAGUAGGAGUUCCUGAUUAUCAGGUGCCUAUGAUGUGACAGGCACAUUGUGGCCUGUGCUCGACCAGGAGACUGCUUUUCCAGGCUGAGAUCAAAGACGGAGAUGUGCCUACCCGCAGAUCCUAGAUGGCCAUGUUUGCAACAGAGGUAAUGAUGAGCAGUGCGAAGAUGUGACUCCAAAGCCUGGAGAAGGACAGACCAGCAUCCCUGCAAGAGAUCCAACUGUCUUCUUUUCCGCAGAGGUCCAUAAUUUACAUGGGCCUGACAAAGAAUACUGUAACUUGCAGAAAUUAUCUUCAGUUCAAAUCCUUCAUUUUGGGGGUUAAAUAACUUGCCCAAGAUGUCGAGGGAGCGGAAAUACUUGCUGGUCUUGCAGCGGCUGUGGAGCCUGGAAUCCUGCCAAGAAGAGCAUGUGUGAGAGAUCAAAAUGUUUGCUUACAUUCCUCCUGUGAAGGGAGUUGGGAAAUAACCUAAGAAGCCCAAUCCAAAAACAAAGAUGUACCAUCCAGUCUUCUCUGUGAGAACCAAACUACAAACCAUCUGAAUGUUCCAAAAGUGUUUUGAUGAUGUAUUGAUGUAUUUUAAAUUAUCCUGAAAAUGUUCUUGGCAGAUGCUUAAACAUGUAAUUACUGAGAUGAUGUAGAAAUACCAAGUGUUUAUUAAAACAAUACAGAGUAAUACAAAUGGUAUGUUUGUCGCAAUAUAAAAGUAUCUAAAAAUUAAAGAGUUCUUUAAUGGUGAA